rnacentral:rRNA from 1 species
CAUUUAAGAUCACCGAAGUCAAGCAUCACAGGGCGCGGUCAUACUUAGGUGGGUGACCACCUGGGAACGCUGCGUGCCGUU